rnacentral:tRNA from 1 species
GAGGUUAUAGCUCAGUGGUAGAGUGCGUGCUUAGCAUGCACAAGGUCCUGGGUUCAAUCCCCAGUACCUCCA